rnacentral:rRNA from 1 species
GCGGAGGAAAAGAAACCAACAGGGAUUGCCCCAGUAACGGCGAGUGAAGCGGCAACAGCUCAAAUUUGAAAUCUGGCUUCGGCCCGAGUUGUAAUUUGCAGAGGAAGCUUUAGGCGCGGCACCAUCUGAGUCCCCUGGAACGGGGCGCCACAGAGGGUGAGAGCCCCGUAUAGAUGGACGCCUAGCCUGUGUAAAGCUCCUUCGACGAGUCGAGUAGUUUGGGAAUGCUGCUCUAAAUGGGAGGUAAAUUUCUUCUAAAGCUGAAUACCGGCCAGAGACCGAUAGCGCACAAGUAGAGUGAUCGAAAGAUGAAAAGCACUUUGAAAAGAGGGUUAAAUAGCACGUGAAAUUGUUGAAAGGGAAGCGCUUGUGACCAGACUUGCGCCGGGCGGAUCAUCCGGUGUUCUCACCGGUGCACUCCGCCCGGCUCAGGCCAGCAUCGGUUCUCGUGGGGGGACAAAGGUCCCGGGAACGUAGCUCCUCCGGGAGUGUUAUAGCCCGGGGCGUAAUGCCCUCGCGGGGACCGAGGACCGCGCUUCGGCAAGGAUGCUGGCGUAAUGGUCAUCAGCGACCCGUCUUGAAACACGGACCAAGGAGUCAAGGUUUUGCGCGAGUGUUUGGGUGUAAAACCCGCACGCGUAAUGAAAGUGAACGUAGGUGAGAGCUUCGGCGCAUCAUCGACCGAUCCUGAUGUUUUCGGAUGGAUUUGAGUAGGAGCGUUAAGCCUUGGACCCGAAAGAUGGUGAACUAUGCUUGGAUAGGGUGAAGCCAGAGGAAACUCUGGUGGAGGCUCGCAGCGGUUCUGACGUGCAAAUCGAUCGUCAAAUCUGAGCAUGGGGGCGAAAGA